rnacentral:rRNA from 1 species
UACGUAGGGUGCGAGCGUUGUCCGGAAUUAUUGGGCGUAAAGAGCGCGCAGGCGGUCGUCCAAGUCGCGUGUGAAAGCCCCCGGCUCAACUGGGGAGGGUCACGCGAUACUGGUCGACUCGAAGGCAGGAGAGGGUAGUGGAAUUCCCGGUGUAGUGGUGAAAUGCGUAGAUAUCGGGAGGAACACCAGUGGCGAAGGCGGCAUCCUGGACCGGCAUUGACGCUGAGGCGCGAAAGCCAGGGGAGCAAACGGG